GAGUUUGAUCUUGGCUCAGAUUGAACGCUGGCGGCAUGCCUUACACAUGCAAGUCGAACGGCAGCACGGGAGCUUGCUCCUGGUGGCGAGUGGCGAACGGGUGAGUAAUGCAUCGGAACGUAUCCUGGAGUGGGGGAUAACGUAGCGAAAGUUACGCUAAUACCGCAUAUUCUGUGAGCAGGAAAGCGGGGGACCUUCGGGCCUCGCGCUCUUGGAGCGGCCGAUGUCGGAUUAGCUAGUUGGUGAGGUAAAGGCUCACCAAGGCGACGAUCCGUAGCAGGUCUGAGAGGAUGAUCUGCCACACUGGAACUGAGACACGGCCCAGACUCCUACGGGAGGCAGCAGUGGGAAUUUUGGACAAUGGGGGCAACCCUGAUCCAGCCAUGCCGCGUGAGUGAAGAAGGCC
rnacentral:rRNA from 1 species